rnacentral:lncRNA from 1 species
UUUUGAAUAGAAGUAAAGAAAGUGGACGUGCUUGUCUUGCUCUUAGCAGGGAUGUUUUGAGUAUAUCUCCAUUUAGUGUGACAUUGGUUAUACCUGUGUUGUAUAUAUAUAACCUUUGUUAUGUUGAGGUAUGCCCCUCCAUCUCUAGUCCUUCCAUGACUUUUAUCAUAAAGGGAUGUUAAAUUUUGUCAAAGAUUUUUCAUGUGUCUAUUGAGAUGGUCAUGUGACUUUUGUCUUUGAGUCUAUGUAUAUGAUGGACAACAUGAAUGAAUUUAUGUAUGUUGAACCAUUCUUGCACCUCUGGCAAGAAGCCAACAUGGUCAUGAUCUUUCUGAUGUGAUCUUGAAUUCAGUUUGUCAGUAUUUUCUUGACAAUUUUUCAUCUGUGUUUAUUAGGGAGAUUGGCCUGUAAUUUUCUUUGUGUGUGUGUCUUUAUCUGAAUUUGACAACCAAAGUGCUGUGGAGAUAGGUAUGGGAAACACUCCAUGAGUUUUAUGAGAGCAGGCCCCGGGAAGUGAGUGGUAUAAGUUUCCACCAAGACACUCAAGAUGUGCCUUCUACAGCCAAGCUGAAAGGGAUUCUCUAAGGCCCUACUGUCCUAGAACUCUGCAGAUGAGGCUGACCUGGAACUCAAAGAUCCACCUGCUUCUGACUCCCAAGUACUGAGAUCAAAGGUGUGAACUACUAUAAUCCCACCAAAUCAAUUCCUAAAAAUGAAGAAGUUACAAUGAAGACAUUAUAAUGGAAGAAGAACAGGAAGGCAGCUGACUCACAUGACUACAUCCAAAGAGGGGAUAUAAAAAUCUAUUGGACUUUGGCAGUCUCCUUAGCAUAAAAGAUGGCUAACCAGAAUGUGUUGUUGAAGGAUGUCUUUUGAGAUCUAAAUAUUAUAAUGACUGUAAAGUGGAAAUUAAGCAAAUCUACUUCGAAUCCCACCUUGUGUAUGUGUUGCUUCUUAACCUUAACUUUUUGUUCUGAAUUAAUGUCUGUCACCUAGUUUGAUUCCUAUUGCUGUGAUAAAAUGCCAUGAUCAAAAACAACUUGGGAAAGAAAGAAUUUAUUUGACUUACACUUCUUGGGUCACAGUACAUUGAGAGAAGCCAAGGCAGGAACUGUAGCAGGGGCAUGGAAGAAUGUUACUUCCUUUCUUGCUUGCUCAUAGCCUGCUGAGUCUGCUUUCUUAUAUAAUCUAGUACUACCUUCCCAGGGAGCACUACUUGAAGGGAGCUGGAAGCUGGAUCAUUAAUCAAGAAAAUCCCACAGACUUGCCUAUAGGCCAGUUUGAGGAGGCAAUUCCUCAAAAGAGAUUCAGUCUUCUCAUAUAUGUCUAGCUUUGUGCCAAGCUGACAAAACCCAGCCAGCACGAUUGAUUCAUUGUCAGCUUGAAGCACAAUAUCUCAACUUGUCCCCCAAAUUUCAUGUCAAUAUUAUUAUCAAAAUGAUGGGGGAAAUACUUCUGUGUAUGUUUAUAAAUAAAGUACUUGCUUGGCCAAUGAGACAGCAGGUUAGGCUGGACUAGGAGUCAAAGCGGAUUCUGGGAAACGUAGUAGAGAAGUGGUGAUCCAGGCAGGAAGUGACAUAGCAAGGAGACUCAUAUUUAAGAAGAGGAAAAAGGAAGUGUCGCUCUCUUUUCCCCUCGCCUCCUGUUCCAGCGGCAAGAUGUGAUUCACCAGCAAGGAGGGACCCCAAUAAGGCAUCCGAUAAGAUAAGUCUUAUAAAAUAUAUAGAUGUAUGGUAAUUGAGACUGAGCUAACAAAUGAGAAUCCUAGUCAUUGGCCAAGCAGCUUUGUAACUAAUACAAGUCUCUCUGUGUAUUCAUUUGGGCCUAACUCGGGCAGGCGGCUGGCAUAAAGCUCACACGUGGCGGUGGGGCUCAGGCGGCUUUUGGCAAAAAGAUUUAUCGUAACAUCAAAAUAUAAAACAUAAAUGUUGACUGUUACACAUAACUCUUUCCCGCCAGCCUGGUUCUGCAGCCACCUUGCCCCAAAUGAACACAUGGACACUGUAUUAAUUAUAAAUCUGUUGGCCAAUGACUAGGGCUUUUUAUUGGCUAGCUCUGUCUUAAUUAUUAACCCAUCUCUAUUAAUCUAAGUAUUUUCACAUGGUCUUAUCUUACUGGAGAGGAGUAACUGGACCUGUUACUCCUCUGGCAUCCUAUAUGGCGACUGACUGCCUAUGUUUCCCAGAAUCCUCCUUAUCUCCUAUUCCCACCAAUCUUCCUGCUUCAUUGGCUGAACAGUGUUUUAUUUAUCAACCAAUAAGAGAAACAUAUACAGAAGGAUAUUCUCCAUCUCACAUAAAUAACUCUAAAAGUCCUUAAGUCUUCAAAAAAUUCCCAUCACUUAAAAGUUCAAUGUCACUUUAAAAUAUUCAACAUUAUUUUAAAGUCCAAAGUCUUUCCAAAGACCCUGCAUAAUAAAAAAUAAGUUACACAUUAUUUCAAGAGGCAAGAAUCAUGGCACAAUCACAGUCUAAACAAAGCAAAACCAAACUCCAACAUUGUAAAUUCAAUCCUGGAGUUCAAUGUACUGCAUCUGGGAUUUACUCAUAUCUGGGUUCCAAAAGACUUGUAUAUCUCUCCCUCUCAAGGCUCUGCCAUUCACAGCACACAUAGCCUGUCUCAUAGGCUUAGAUUGGCUCCCCUCCACAGCAGCUGCUGUCCUAAGUGGUCAUCCCACUGACUUCUCCAGUAUGUUGGAGUCUCUAGAGUUCACAUGUUUACCAAUGACCCUCCUGAUCUCUCAAAGUACCAAAUCUUAUCUGCUCUCCACGAUCCCAUCACUCUUUCAAGACUAGUUCAGCCUGGUUGAUUAUUACACAUUACCAAAUCUGGCUACCAGCGUGAGAAGCAGCCUUGGCUCCUAGCUCUAUAUGCUGACCUCGAAAUACUUCCCAGAAGAUUUAACCUCAAUGAUGCUGGUCUCUUCUUAACCACAGUGAUUUUUACAGCCAUUAGCCCAGCCAACUAGAAAAGCCAAAGAUUCACUUUCGUGGUUCUACUCUGUUGUUACUCAAACUGAUUCUUCAGUCCUACCUGAUCAGAAACUACAUAUUGGUAAUUCAAAACAUCACGAGAACAGCCCCUAGAGAGUCUUUGCUUCCCUCUGAAACUUCACAAACCACGGUUCCCUUAUCUGCAUUGUUCUCAGCACUAGCACUCUCUUGCAAGUUCCCACAAUAGCUUACCAAGCUUUGAGCACCCAAUGGCUUCUCAGCCCAAAGUUCUCAAGUCCUUUCUCAGUCCUUCCCAAAGCAUUGUGGUUAGGUCUGUCACAGCAACACCCUACUCCUGGUACCAGCUUCACUUAGGCUUGUUACUUUUUGUUAACUUGACAGGAACCUAAACAAAUAUGAGGAAUUGCCUCUAUCAGAUUGGCCUGUAGGCAAGACUGUGGGGUCAUUUUCUUGAUUAGCGAUUGAUUUCAGAGCACCUAGCCCCCUUGGGCAAUGCCACCCCUGGGAAGGAAGUUCUGACAGCCAAUUGUGUUGGGAUGGCUUGGCCCAAUGGGCAUGGUCUUUUCUGGGUAUGUGUGACUGGAUAAGAAUGGAAGGUGGGGUGUGUUCUCUCUUGGACUGUGGAAGGCUUGCUGGCAGUGGCAGCCUGGUGACCUUCCCUGGACCUGCCCAAUCACUCUUGAGAACCAGAG